GGGUAGAGGGCCGAGCUGAGAGCUCGAUGCUAGAAAGGCAACAUAUGAGCGAUAUAAUCACUUUCUCUGAUGAGAAUAUCUGACGAGUUCAAACUCCUCAUAACGAUGCUGUCAUCGUCUCUAUUACAAUAGCAAACUAUGAUGUGAAAAGAUUCUUAUUGAUAAUGAAAGCUCAGCUGAUGUUUUAUUUUAUGAUACUUUCUAGAGGAUGAAAUUAUCAAUUGA
rnacentral:lncRNA from 1 species